rnacentral:lncRNA from 1 species
UCCCAUACCUAAUAUUUUUAAAAUACCAAUCUUCGAGAGAGUUAAACGGGCUAAGCAAUAUAUUAGGAAAAAUGUAAAUAAGACCACUAUUCUGGUAUAUUGUCAUGACAUACUUAUUGUUUUAUAAACAUGGUUACCUAAAUUGUUGUAGGAUUAAUUCUAUUUUCACUCAUCAAAUAUUCCAUAUAAAGUAGUAAUUCUAUUUGCAAUGCGUAGAAGUGUAAUUAUAAAAAUAUAAUGAUAUUUGAACUCUAAAUCUUAAUAUACAAUCCAAUUUUCACAAGCACACUAAAAACAUAUCUU